rnacentral:rRNA from 1 species
AUUGAACGCUGGCGGCAGGCUUAACACAUGCAAGUCGAGCGAGCGGCGGACGGGUGAGUAAUGUCUGGGAAACUGCCUGAUGGAGGGGGAUAACUACUGGAAACGGUAGCUAAUACCGCAUACCAUCAGAUGUGCCCAGAUGGGAUUAGCUAGUAGGUGGGGUAAGGGCUCACCUCGGCUACGAUCCCUACCUGGUCUGAGAGGAUGACCGGCCACACUGGAACUGUGACACGGUCCAGACUCCAACGGGAGGCAGCAGUGGGGAAUAUUGCACAAUGGGCGCAAGCCUGAUGGAGCAAUGCCGCGUGUGUGAAGAAGGCCUUCGGGUUGUAAAGCACUUUCAGCGAGGAGGCGUUACUCGCAGAAGAAGCACCGGCUAACUCCGUGCCAGCAGCCGCGGUAAUUC